CAGCCGCCGCGGUAAUACGAAGGUGGCAAGCGUUAUCCGGAAUAAUUGGGCGUAAAGCGUCCGCAGACGGUUUGAUAAGUCAUGGGUCAAAUCCUGAAGCUCAACUUCAGGGCCGCUCGUGAAACUAUCAAUCUAGAGACUGGAAGAGGUAAGCGGAAUUAUCGGUGUAGUGGUAAAAUGCGUUAAUAUCGAUAAGAACACCAAAUGCGAAGGCAGCUUACUGGUACAGUUCUGACGUUAAGGGACGAAAGCGUGGGGAGCGAAUGGGAUUAGAUACCCCAGUAGUCCACGCCGUAAACGAUGGGUACUAAGCAUUGGGAGUAUCGACCCUCUCAGUGUUGUUUAACUAAGCUAAUGCCUUAAGUACCCCGCCUGGGGAGUACGGCCGCAAGGCUAAAACUCAAAGGAAUUGACGGGAGCCCGCACAAGCGGCGGAGCAUGCGGCUUAAUUCGAUGGUACCCGAAGAACCUUACCUGGACUUGACAUAAUGGGAAAAACCCUAGAGAUAGGGUGUGCGUAAGCGUCCAUUACAGGUGGUGCAUGGCUGUCGUCAGCUCGUGUCGUGAGGUGUUUGGUUAAGUCCAGUAACGAGCGCAACCCUUAUCCUAUGUUACUUUACGUAGGAGACUGCCCGGGUUUAACCGGGAGGAAGGUGGGGAUGACGUCAAAUCAGCAUGGCCCUUACGCCUUGGGCUACACACGUGCUACAAUGGCCAGUACAAUGGGUUGCAAAGCAGUAAUGCGAAGCUAAUCCCAUCAAAGCUGGUCUCAGUUCGGAUUGAGGUCUGCAAUUCGACCUCAUGAAGUUGGAAUUACUAGUAAACGCCAAUCAGCCAUAUGGCGUUGAAUACGUUCUCGGGUUUUGUACACACCGCCCGUCACACCAAGAGAGUCGGUAGUACCCGAAAGCUGACAUUAGUCGGAAUAAGGUAAGAUCGAUGAUAGGGGUGAAGUCGUAACAAGGUAGCCGUA
rnacentral:rRNA from 1 species